AUUAAGACCUUGGAGAUGAAAAUUCUGUGUUUAUCCACAGAGCAUGUUCAGCACUGCCAACAGCUCUGCAACUUUUCCCAAACAAUGUUCCUCAAAGAUGACUUGAAAGGACCACAAUUAGGGGCAGGAGAAUAGUUUAAUUUCCAUGCCCAUUCAAUCCUUGACUUCU
ensembl:misc_RNA